UUUGAGAGGGACUUUUGUAAACAUCUUGGUGGGAGAAAAAGAUAAUUGCAAAAGAAAUUAAAAAUGGUGUCAACAUUUGCAGAUACUGGAAGAAGCACCCCUGCCUGGUAAUCUUCUGUUGUCCAGUGGUGUCCAAAGAUCCAUGAGAUUAGCAAGCAAGUACUUGAGUUGAAGAGCCAGAACAGAGACAUAAACUUGCAGUAGAAGGUUAUACAAUCAUCAAAGCACUGGCUGGGAACCUCCAACAGUGGGCUUGAUCCUACUGUCUCUGAAGUCAAUGGCUGAGCCAGAAUUUUAGGGUAAAUCCUGUAAAGAGAUAGGAACAGCACAUAAGAAAGAGGCUGGUGUCUCCACUUUAACACCUCUUCCAGCCCUGAACUGGAACAUGUGAAUAGCGACGGGUGAGAGCCUUCAGAAAAGACUAUUUAGAAGCAUGCUUGAAAGACACUGGUGAAUGAGG